UCAAGCGACUAAGUGUAUGUGGUGGAUGCCUUGGCGAUCACAGGCGAUGAAGGACGUGACAGCCUGCGAAAAGCUGUGGGGAGCUGGCAAAUAAGCUUUGAUCCACAGAUGUCCGAAUGAGGGAACUCACCUGCUUUGCAGGUAUCCCAUCCUGAAUAUAUAGGGAUGGGAGGCGAACGAAGCGAACUGAAACAUCUAAGUAGCUUCAGGAAAAGAAAUCAACCGAGAUUCCGAAAGUAGCGGCGAGCGAAAUCGGAUCAGCCCAGCACUCGAUAGCAGCCAACUUACGGGAACGGUCUGGAAAGUCCGGCCAUAGAGGGUGAUAGCCCCUUACUGGAAAAGGCAGCUGUGGUACUAAGUGUGCGAUAAGUAGAGCGGGACACGUGACAUCCUGCUCGAAGAUGGGGGGACCAUCCUCCAAGGCUAAAUACUCAUGAUCGACCGAUAGCGAACCAGUACUGUGAAGGAAAGGUGAAAAGAACCCCGGGAGGGGAGUGAAAUAGAUCCUGAAACCGCAUACAUACAAACAGUAGGAGCCUCGUUAAGGGGUGACUGCGUACCUUUUGCAUAAUGGGUCAGCGACUUACGUUUAAUGGCGAGCUUAACCGUAUAGGGGAGGCGCAGCGAAAGCGAGUUCGAACAGAGCGUUCAGUCGUUAGGCGUAGACCCGAAACCAGAUGAUCUAUCCAUGGCCAGGUUGAAGGUGUGGUAACACACACUGGAGGACCGAACCGACUAGUGUUGCAAAAUUAGCGGAUGAGCUGUGGAUAGGGGUGAAAGGCUAAACAAAUCUGGAGAUAGCUGGUUCUCCCCGAAAACUAUUGAGGUAGUGCCUCGUGUAUGACUCCAGGGGGUAGAGCACUGUUAUGGCUAGGGGGACAUGGCGUCUUACCAAACCAUGGCAAACUCCGAAUACUUGGAAGUUUGAGCACGGGAGACAGAGCACCGGGUGCUAACGUCCGGACUCAAGAGGGAAACAACCCAGACCGCCGGCUAAGGUCCCUAAUAUUGACUAAGUGGAAAACGAAGUGGAAAGGCUAAGACAGUCAGGAAGUUGGCUUAGAAGCAGCCAUCCUUCAAAGAAAGCGUAAUAGCUCACUGAUCGAGUCUUUCUGCGCGGAAGAUGUAACGGGGCUAAGUCAAUAACCGAAGCCGCGGAUUCACACUUAUGUGUGAGUGGUAGGGGAGCGUUCUGUAAGCCUGCGAAGGUGACUCGUAAGGGUUGCUGGAGGUAUCAGAAGUGCGAAUGCUGACAUGAGUAACGUUAAAGCGGGUGAAAAGCCCGCUCGCCGUAAGCCCAAGGUUUCCUGCUCUACGUUCAUCGGAGCAGGGUGAGUCGGCCCCUAAGGUGAGGCUGAGAAGCGUAACUGAUGGGAACAAGGUUAAUAUUCCUUGACCACCGCUGAAUGCGAAGGGGGGACGGAGUAUUGAAGAUCAUCCGGGUGUUGGAUAUCCCGGUUUGCGAGCGUAGGAGGCUGACAGGCAAAUCCGUCAGCGAAUCUCCGAGGCAAAGCAUCGAGCUCUCUUUUGAGCGAAGUGAUUGGAUGUGCUUCCAGGAAAAGCCUCUAAGCUCCAGUUCAGCGGGACCGUACCGCAAACCGACACUGGUGGGCGAGCUGAAUAUGCUCAGGCGCUUGAGAGAACUCAGGAGAAGGAACUCGGCAAAUUGACACCGUAACUUCGGGAUAAGGUGUGCCUUUGUAGCGUGGAGGGAGAAACACCCCGAGCGCGAAGAGGUCUCAGAUAAUCGGUGGCUGCGACUGUUUAUUAAAAACACAGCACUCUGCAAAGACGAAAGUCGACGUAUAGGGUGUGAUGCCUGCCCGGUGCUGGAAGAUUAAUUGAUGGGGUGCAAGCUCCUGAUCGAAGUCCCAGUAAACGGCGGCCGUAACUAUAACGGUCCUAAGGUAGCGAAAUUCCUUGUCGGGUAAGUUCCGACCUGCACGAAUGGCAUAAUGAUGGCCACACUGUCUCCUCCUGAGACUCAGUGAAGUUGAAAUGUUUGUGAUGAUGCAAUCUCCCCGCGGCUAGACGGAAAGACCCCAUGAACCUUUACUGCAGCUUUGCAUUGGACUUUGAACCGAUCUGUGUAGGAUAGGUGGGAGGCAGUGAAGCUAGGACGCCAGUCUUAGCGGAGCCAACCUUGAAAUACCACCCUGAUUUGUUUGAGGUUCUAACCUAGGAGCGUGAUCCGCUUCGGGGACCGUGCAUGGUAGGCAGUUUGACUGGGGCGGUCUCCUCCUAAAGGGUAACGGAGGAGUGCGAAGGUACG
rnacentral:rRNA from 1 species